AGCCUGCAGCCACAGACGCCCGACCUAGGCGGCCACAGAACAGGCCAUGGGAGAAGCCAGGAGCCAACUGGGGAAUGAGCAGAAGGAAGCGGGAAGGGUGCCUUCGCCAGCCACCUCGGCACCCGCAAGGGCUGGGUGCCCGGCUGGAAGCCAGCAGACGGCCCCGGGCCGGAGCAACGGCGCGCGUCCUCCGUGAGGGACGGGCCGCAGCUCCACAAGCUCUCGAUGCGAUCGGCCGCUUCCGCCUUCCGGCUCCGCCCCCGGCCGCCUUCCCGCCGCUCUGGCUGCCCGGAGGAAGAAGCCGACAGCCGCCUCGCGUGUAACCCUCGACGCUUAACGGAAAGUCACCUCAGAAACGACCCUCCCAGUACCCGUCGGUCCCCGGGAGGCUGGUCCCGAUGUUCCAGAGGUUCCUGUGCGGGUCUGUAGCAUUUAGCGUGGUGUUUACUUCAUGUCCUUGUCUCCUUUGGGGGGACGAGACUAGUGCAGGGCACGAGCCUUCGCUCGAGUUCUCCGUUCUUGUUGGAUGGACAAAUGUUGGUGAAUUUGCGCGGCCUGGAACGCGGACAGGCUGCCUGUGGCCCAGUGGUUCCUCCUUCGGCUCUCGGCAGCUCUGGGACAAAGGCUUUCUGCUGCCCACACAACACUAAGGGGAUGCACAGGGCUCGGACUGCACUGGGACUUCCCCCAAAUCGGAGAAAAUGGCUGUUUAUAGUGAUUUAAAGAGAGGUCCAGAGAAAGGGCAACUGCACUCUAAUGUAAAUAUAAAUAUGUAUACCCACAGGGUUUCUAAGCUGUUCUUGUCUCUACACAUUUGUGUGCACCUUAGUGGUUUGUUUCCAGGGGCCACUGUCUUGAACUUAUUAAAAGCUAAGUCCUUUCUUGCCCUAGGCACUAAGCAUUUAGUUGAUGUAAGGCUAAAAAUGGGUAAUAGUUACCACUUAGGCAGUCUCCAGCCAUUAAAACAGCAUCAAAUGAAAGUUAUCCAUACUGUGAAACGACUAAAAUGUUAACACCCAUAGGAAUUAUUUUUAAAAAUUGCCUCACCCAUUGGCAGUGAUCCCCACUGUAUACCCCUUAACUGUUCAGGGUUAAAUAAAAAGCUGUUGAGCCUUAACAGCCCCUUCAGUGCUGCUGGACAGUGGAGCUCAAGGCAACAACCAACUCAUUUUGGUAAAUGACCUCAAAAAAUUACUGUUAAGACCUAAAUUUAACACUAAUAACAAAAGCAUUUGGCUUCAUUGCCAAACACACGAGAGGUUUUCUGGGCUGUGGCUGUACUUUGAGGAAUAGAAUUGGUGGUACAGCUGCAAAUUAUUUUUCAGGAACCCUGGUAAAAAUUUUCAGUGUUUUAUUAGGAUGCUGCUGUGUAAGGCCAAGCUUUGAACCCCCCAAAAAACAUUCAGGCCCCAGCUCCCAGUAAUGAACUGUCAUUUUAGGAAAUUGACUUAACAAGUCUGUUUUCUCACCAGUGUUGUGGAGAUAAUUAACCCCCUCCUAUCUAUGAGAACUGAUGAAAUACUGAGACCCUUCUAAGACCUAAAUGCUGUCAGGACAGGCACUUCAACUACAGAGUUCACACAAAACUUAAUGAGGAAAGGGAUUCUCUUGUCUCCCAUACUCUAUCCACAUCUGAAAAGUAAGCAUCUUCAUUAUUAUGCCAUGCAUCGUCACAAGCCUACGGCUGCUCUAAAUGCAGGUAACCAAUUUUAAGCAGCAAUAAGGACAACUAUCACAAAUAAAAGCUUCAUUUUUCUUCAAAACUAGUUGUACCUCAGUCUGGGUAUCUCUGACUUUUUCUUUGGCAAAGAAAAGUCCAUGAUUUUCUUCUAAAGCUUAAAACUAAAAUGGCAAAAAGAAGGUGAGUAGAUGGAUGCAUGUGUGUGUGGAGAAGACUAGUACUCGACAAACAGGGUGCCAGCAAUGACAACUCCCAUGUGCUAUUCAUUUUGAAACAUCAGUAAAGGACAAAUCAGACUUUGUUUAUUAAAAAAAUACUUUACAGGAAAAAAAAGAAACCUAUGCAUUCCAUUGUCCUACUUUACAAAGAAAUAGCUUAACAAUUUAACACACUCAGACAGCUACAAAAAAGCACUGUGUUAAAAGAAUUAUUAUUCACACAAAUUUGAGAUUUAAGACUAUCCAUUAAAAACCUUUUAAAACACUUGUUAAUGUCAAUAAACAAACUAAGGCCACACAAACGCAAAUAGUCCGCCAGGCAAAUUAAACAUUUCAUCUAUAUGCAAAGACCUCUUAGAUAAAUUAAAGCCACAGGAAAAAAAGUCUUAGCUGCCAAUCAAAAUGAAGUUUAGUCACAGAAAACACUAUUACAUGAAAAUUUACAACGUGUGAUAGUAUUACAUAAGUAUUUCUUUAGAGAGAAUUGAAAAGUGCUAUAUUUUAAGAGACGGUGGUCUCAACUACAUGCACAAGUGGAUCCUAAAAAAUGUAUGGAGAUUUUUUAAAUGGAAGGCCAUAAUGUUUAUGGAUACUUGCUUUUAAAGCAACAGACUUCCAGGACGAGGAUAAGUCCUUUAUGCACUUAAGAAAAACACUGGUGAUGUGUAUCUCCUCUACUUGCAUGACCAGUAAAUACGGCUACAGACUGUCUUGAAACAUGAAACUUAGCACAAAUGUGAGCCUCUGGCAUGUGCUACUGAAAGGAUGAAACAGAUUUAUUAGAAAAACACAAACUCAGUAAUCCUAAUUAUCUUUAAUAGAUGCAAAUAAAUUUAAAAGGCAAAUACAGAUGAAAAUAUAAUGGGCUAAUAUUAAUGAUAAAGGAUAUAUUCACUAGGAACAUAUUUUCGUGGAUUUUGGAGUCUUGUUCCUAUAUUAACUUUCCUUCUAGACAAUAUUUAUACAGGGGAAAAAAAGCACUAAGCAAAAGUUUCUCAAGUCAUUAGGUGAGAUCUUUAUGCCUGUUAAGACUGAUAUAUCAUUUCCUAAAGUUUAGCAAAUUAUUUAAAAUAAGCUCUUUUCCCCAUACAAGAGCUUGUAGUAUUUGUGAACUAAUAGUCCGACUGUUUCUGAGGGCGCAGGGCACUUUCCAAAAGUCUUAGAGUAAAAAUCAUGUAAAACUGUAAGUACUGAAUAAGCAAAGUACAAUUAAGACUAAGAAUUCAUUUCUCAAGAGUUAAACUUUGGAAGAGGGAACCAAUAUAAAGGUUAUUAUUAUUGCUUUAUGAAUUUGGGACAUUUCUCAGAAUCGUAACCCUAACUCUUAUCCUAUCUUGAUAAUUAUAGAAUGACCUCUGGGACAGGGGAAGACUUAUUCUUUUUAAUGGUUACCAUAAAAUCAUUCUAUUUGCUGUUAGGAAUAUUUAAUUUACUAGGUUCUUUCGAUUAGCAUAUUUUAAAAAUAUCCCUCUGAUCCAUAAACUACUAAAACUUAUAGCCACAUUCUGCAAGUAAUCUCAAGGGCUGGCACAAUAGAUAACAUACCAGAAAGGAAGAUCAGCUUCAAUUUCAGUUACAACUUCACUGCCAUCGCUAUUUUACAAAUCAGAGGAUACCAGACCAUGCCUCACUCCACCAACCAAAUAGUUUAAUGAUUUAGAAAACUUGCGAUCAUUUGUAUCACUCAACUAGGACACAGUUUUGAAAGCAGCAGGAAACUCGAAGCUUCUGCUUUUAUAUUCAUCAGUCUUUAAAGCAUGCUAUCAAAAUCUAAUACUCACGUAGGACAUUCAGGAUUUCCAGGUACAUUACUAGCUAAAUGUGUCUUUCCAUUCUAUUGCAAUCUAAUAUACAAUGACUUCAUUAGUACAUGAUUUUCAACAUUUUUAUAUUCUUUUAAUAUGUUUAUACUGGAAGUGAGGGUAGAAUGCUUUGUAAAAGGAAAAUGGAGAUUUGCGUUUGAUUGUAGGUCUUUGCAGAUCCGCUGGUUCCUGAGUGAUUGCACAGUGCUGGCUGUCAGGAGACAGUCUCCUUGUGUAUUAGUAAUGACCAGCUUAGAUGACAGGAUGGCAUCUGCUGGAUGGCAAGUGGGAGGUGGGGAAAUCGGAUCUUGGAAGACAAGAAAAACAAAAUAAAACUUUUUGCGU
ensembl:antisense Phtf1os putative homeodomain transcription factor 1, opposite strand